rnacentral:snoRNA from 1 species
ACGCACAGUUUUUUAACCUGAAUGGCCUUUUCACUGGCCAUUUACACAGGUAAAGAGUGGUGCAAUAUCAUAUCCUGUCUUGUUAUAACUGGGGUUUCAUGGUUUCUUCACCAAGUCUCUCUUUUAAAGCAAGACACAGAU